GCUUACGACCACACCAGCCUGAGUACGCCUGAUCUCGGAAGCUAAGCAUGGUCGGGCCUGGUUAGUACUUGGAUGGGAGACCGCCUGGGAAUACCAGAUGCUGUAAGCU
rnacentral:rRNA from 1 species